UCCCUGAUAGUCCAAUGAUUAGGACUCUGUGCUUUCACUCUAGGGGGCAAGGGUUCAAUUCCUGGUCAGGGAA
rnacentral:tRNA from 1 species